CUGGAAAUCAGGUUUAAUUAUUAGCUAAUUGUCUGGGAUGUAUCUCAUUUGAAAGAAACGAAGAGAGGAAUGUUGUGAGGCUGUGGUUGGCGCAAGUGGAGCUGGUUAACUCCUGGUUAAGCUGGCAUAGGAACCUGUUAUCCUGCUCUCUAGGAGGGGUUCUGUGGUGUCCUGAUGCCUUUUUCAUCUGUGUGUCCACAAGAAUUGGUGGAUGUCACCUGCAGGCUGUCACCCACCAGGCCUUCUUGCUCGUGAACAAGGCUUUGGGGAUUUCCUGCCACAGUGCUUCAUGGGCUGAUGCCCUCAGGAAGACAGGAGUCAGGGUUAUUCAGGAUGGCUCCCAGCACUGCCCUGCUGAUCCUGCUGGCCCUCAGUGAACCUGAUGAUGAUUUUCAGCUGCUCGAGCCUGAAUCCUGAAAGAAUCCUGAGGAAGCAGAAGAGCUGAGUCACCCCUCCAGAAGACAUUUCCCACCACAGAUGGAUGUUCUGCCAUGUGAUCCUGGUAUCUCUUUUUGCUGGAGGAGCUCCUGUGUCACUCCCAGGCCUGGGUGAGGGUGACAUUCCUCCAGUGGCAUUGCUACAGCAAAGGCAAACUCACCAUCAGUGUAUGCUGCAGAACAAGUAAAUCCUCUCUGUUUGGAAGCAUCCCUGUCUGCACUGAGACCUUGCCUUUGGAAGGUGAUAAUGUGAAAAACAUCCUGUGACGUUUUUGCAUUUGUUCUCUGGGAGCCAUCCAUCAUUUCUAGCACCGUGACUUCUGGGUGACUCCUCUGUGCUUCUCCCUGCCACUGUGUGCCAGCUUUGUGCCAAUAAUCUUGGAUGACAGUUAUGGAGGUCUAAAUUCAUCCCUCAUUUCUGUUAUAUAUUGCCUGUGAUUUAAAGCCACUUAAAUAUAUAUUGCCUGUGAUAUAAAGUCACUUAAUUGUCUUGUUUCUCUUCUGUAACAUAAUACUGCGUUUUUCCUCCCUGUCAUCUGCCUGCUCUCUGUGGAUCCAGGGAGAGCUCUCUUGGGUGCAGGUGUCUCAGCAGACUCUUUGGAACAAACAAACUACUUUAGGUGAUUAACUUCUGGAUUUGGAACUGAAGAUAUUUCAGUUUCCCUCAGUUCACUGCUAACCAGAGUGAGAUCUUCAUGAGACUUUCUGCAAUAUUUAAAUCCCAACUACUGGAGUUCACUGAUUUUGUGAGAAUCUUG
rnacentral:lncRNA from 1 species